GGCGAACGGGUGAGUAACACGUGAGUAACCUGCCCUUGACUCUGGGAUAAGCCUGGGAAACUGGGUCUAAUACCGGAUAUGACCUUCCAUCGCAUGGUGGUUGGUGGAAAGCUUUUGUGGUUUUGGAUGGACUCGCGGCCUAUCAGCUUGUUGGUGAGGUAAUGGCUUACCAAGGCGACGACGGGUAGCCGGCCUGAGAGGGUGACCGGCCACACUGGGACUGAGACACGGCCCAGACUCCUACGGGAGGCAGCAGUGGGGAAUAUUGCACAAUGGGCGCAAGCCUGAUGCAGCGACGCCGCGUGAGGAUGACGGCCUUCGGGUUGUAAACCUCUUUCAGUAGGGAAGAAGCGAGAGUGACGGUACCUGCAGAAGAAGCGCCGGCUAACUACGUGCCAGCAGCCGCGGUAAUACGUAGGGCGCAAGCGUUAUCCGGAAUUAUUGGGCGUAAAGAGCUCGUAGGCGGUUUGUCGCGUCUGCCGUGAAAGUCCGGGGCUCAACUCCGGAUCUGCGGUGGGUACGGGCAGACUAGAGUGAUGUAGGGGAGACUGGAAUUCCUGGUGUAGCGGUGAAAUGCGCAGAUAUCAGGAGGAACACCGAUGGCGAAGGCAGGUCUCUGGGCAUUAACUGACGCUGAGGAGCGAAAGCAUGGGGAGCGAACAGGAUUAGAUACCCUGGUAGUCCAUGCCGUAAACGUUGGGCACUAGGUGUGGGGGACAUUCCACGUUUUCCGCGCCGUAGCUAACGCAUUAAGUGCCCCGCCUGGGGAGUACGGCCGCAAGGCUAAAACUCAAAGGAAUUGACGGGGGCCCGCACAAGCGGCGGAGCAUGCGGAUUAAUUCGAUGCAACGCGAAGAACCUUACCAAGGCUUGACAUGAACCGGACCGCCGCAGAAAUGUGGUUUCCCCUUUGGGGCUGGUUUACAGGUGGUGCAUGGUUGUCGUCAGCUCGUGUCGUGAGAUGUUGGGUUAAGUCCCGCAACGAGCGCAACCCUCGUUCUAUGUUGCCAGCACGUGAUGGUGGGGACUCAUAGGAGACUGCCGGGGUCAACUCGGAGGAAGGUGGGGACGACGUCAAAUCAUCAUGCCCCUUAUGUCUUGGGCUUCACGCAUGCUACAAUGGCCGGUACAAAGGGUUGCGAUACUGUGAGGUGGAGCUAAUCCCAAAAAGCCGGUCUCAGUUCGGAUUGGGGUCUGCAACUCGACCCCAUGAAGUCGGAGUCGCUAGUAAUCGCAGAUCAGCAACGCUGCGGUGAAUACGUUCCCGGGCCUUGUACACACCGCCCGUCAAGUCACGAAAGUUGGUAACACCCGAAGCCGGUGGCCUAAUCCCUUAUGGGGAGGGAGCU
rnacentral:rRNA from 1 species